rnacentral:rRNA from 1 species
UACGUAGGGUGCAAGCGUUAAUCGGAAUUACUGGGCGUAAAGCGUGCGCAGGCGGUUCGCUAAGACAGAUGUGAAAUCCCCGGGCUUAACCUGGGAACUGCAUUUGUGACUGGCGGGCUAGAGUGUAGCAGAGGGGGGUAGAAUUCCACGUGUAGCAGUGAAAUGCGUAGAGAUGUGGAGGAAUACCAAUGGCGAAGGCAGCCCCCUGGGUUAACACUGACGCUCAUGCACGAAAGCGUGGGGAGCAAACAGG